rnacentral:rRNA from 1 species
UACGGAGGGUGCGAGCGUUGUUCGGAAUACUGGGCGUAAAGCGCGUGCAGGCGGCCGACUAAGUCAGGUGUGAAAGCCCGGGGCUCACCUCCGGAAGUGCGCUUGAAACUGGUCGGCUAGAGUACGGGAGAGGGAAGCGGAAUUCCUGGUGUAGCGGUGAAAUGCGUAGAUAUCAGGAGGAACACCGGCGGCGAAGGCGGCUUGCCAGAAUGC